GGACGAACGCUGGCGGCGUGCUUAACACAUGCAAGUCGAGCGCGGGCAUUUCGGGGGUAACCCCGGGAUGUGCUGAGCGGCGGACGAGUGAGUAAUACGUGGACAACCUGCCUUAAAGCUUGGGAUAACUCCGGGAAACUGGAGCUAAUACCGGAUAAGACCACGGUGUCUAUGGAUGCUGAGGUAAAAGGCGGCCAGGAACUGGCUGUUGCUUAAAG
rnacentral:rRNA from 1 species